AGAACGAACGCUGGCGGCAUGCCUAACACAUGCAAGUCGAACGUGAUCCGGGGCUUGCUCCGGUGAAAGUGGCGGACGGGUGAGUAACGCGUGGGAACCUGCCCAGUGGUCGGGGAUAACUGCGGGAAACUGCAGCUAAUACCCGGUAAGCCCUACGGGGGAAAGAUUUAUCGCCAUUGGAGGGGCCCGCGUCGGAUUAGGUAGUUGGUGGGGUAAAGGCCUACCAAGCCUUCGAUCCGUAGCUGGUCUGAGAGGAUGAUCAGCCACACUGGGACUGAGAUACGGCCCAGACUCCUACGGGAGGCAGCAGUGGGGAAUAUUGGACAAUGGGCGCAAGCCUGAUCCAGCAAUGCCGCGUGAGUGAAGAAGGCCUUAGGGUUGUAAAGCUCUUUCGGCGGGGACGAUGAUGACGGUACCCGCAGAAGAAGCCCGGCUAACUCCGUGCCAGCAGCCGC
rnacentral:rRNA from 1 species